UGUUUUCCUUGAGCCCUUGUCAAUAUGUCUUCGUGUUAACAGCUUAGCAGAUGGAGAAACAGAAGGAGUAGCCUCAGCUUACCUGAAUGAUUUCUCUCCGGCACCCGGCACAUGACUGUCUCUACUAACUUGAUGAUAGGAACUGGAGUAAUUGGAAGAUAAGAAAUGAUGCCUGACUUUUGCAGUGUUGUUUACCAAAACUGUUGGCAGCUUUUUUAUGUUACUGUUAGAUCCUUUUUCCCAGUCUCAUACCAAGAGAAGACAGAAGUAUAGCAACCUACCUGGUUCGCACUGUGCCUACUUAGAUAAUGAAAGUAAAAUAAUAAUAACUAAUAUCGCUUUGGGCGUAAAUUAGCAUAUUCCCAGGUGGUUCCAGGGUAAUCACCGUGGUUUAGCAGGAGCAAUAGCUUUCUGCAACAGAAAAUGUGGGAGCCUGGGAUACUGCUUUGUGUAAUAGCAUUGUUCUUUUUACAUGGGGCUUAUUAUUAUUUAAUGGGCUGACUGCUUUUUACUUAAGUAU
rnacentral:lncRNA from 1 species